rnacentral:misc_RNA from 1 species
GAUGAAGAACGUAGCGAAAUGCGAUAAUUAAUGUGAAUUGCAGAAUUUAGUGAAUCAUCGAAUCUUUGAACGCACAUUGCGCCCCUUGGUAUUCCGGGGGGCAUGCCUGUUCGAGCGUCAUUGCUGCCCUCAAGCACGGCUUGUGUGUUGGGCCUCCGUCCUCCUCCCGGGGGACGGGCCCGAAAGGCAGCGGCGGCACCGCGUCCGGUCCUCGAGCGUAUGGGGCUUCGUCACCCGCUCUUGUAGGCCCGGCCGGCGCUUGCCGACACAUCAAUCUUUUUUCCAGGUUGACCUCGGAUCAGGUAGGGAUACCCGCUGAACUUAAGCAUAUCAAUAAGCGGAGGA